GGAACAAUAAAAAGUCAAGCCACCUAGGGGACUCGAACCCCUGACCUUAAGAUUAAAAGUCUCACGCUCUACCAACUGAGCUAAGGAGGCCC
rnacentral:tRNA from 1 species